GUAGCAAUACACGAGUGGCGCACGGGUGAGUAACGCGUGGGAACCUGCCCAGUGGUAGGGAAUAACUGCGGGAAACUGCAGCUAAUACCCUAUACGCCCUACGGGGGAAAGUUUUUCGCCAUUGGAGGGGCCCGCGUCGGAUUAGCUAGUUGGUGAGGUAAGAGCUUACCAAGGCGACGAUCCGUAGCUGGUCUGAGAGGAUGAUCAGCCACACUGGGACUGAGACACGGCCCAGACUCCUACGGGAGGCAGCAGUGGGGAAUAUUGGACAAUGGGGGAAACCCUGAUCCAGCAAUGCCGCGUGAGUGAUGAAGGCCUUAGGG
rnacentral:rRNA from 1 species